UUUUCGCCCUCCGUUUGUGCAGGUUGUCUCUUCGCUGGAGGUACAUCGUCGGAAUCCUAAUCGCACAAGCGUAAAUGGCAACAGCCAUUGGUCGAUGAUCUUUCUGAUAUAUAUCUCCCUAUAAAUCCCUGUCGUUAAACUGAUAUUACUAACAGUUUUUGCAGCUUCGCCUGCCUCCUUGCAGAUCUCAAAAGAUACCUUGGAUUUGUCUAGCUCAAUACGCAGGGCCUUAUCUGCAGAUCUUAGAAGGAACAACGAGGUCUAGCAGCUCAAGGAUCUGCUGGUUGAAGCGUUCCAGACUGCAUAGACGGAAUCUUCUAAUUGUUGGACAAUGUCAUAUGUAAUUGCCUUGAAGCAUAAGCCUAGAGCAUGCGCUGCUUCAAUCCUUUAUUAGAAAAAUCAACUUCAUCAGUCUCAAAGGUGGCCAAGGUAGUCUUUGAUCCAAGAACCAACCCAAGUUUUUGCAAGUGGUCGUGAUUAGGAAAUGAUUCACAAAGAUCGUUUGAUUUUUAGGCAGCAAUAGUUGGCGCCGUCUCUGGGAAUUCUUUUGAGAGUUUUUUUUUUUUUCGAUCCUUGAUCAUGGCUACAUUAUACAAUUCGAAGUCAUAACCAACAAUGAGUGACCAAUAACCCCAAUUCAUACAUUCUGCACUAGGUGACAAUUCCAGCGUAAUGAGAAGUGAAUUCCUUGUAUUUUAGAAAAGGAUGGAGGACAUGUUCACUAUGAUUCUAUAGCAAAAAAAGGAUCAUAAGGAACCUGCUCCUCAUCCUAACCAAGUAGAACCUGAGUCAAAUGAGAAAGUUCCAUGUUGUUACUUUCAUAUAUUCUGUGUGGGUGUGUUCUGUAUGUAGCUCAUAUCUUUGAGUGGAUGACAUACAAAAGGAGAAAAUAUGGUUAAAAUUAGUGUGCUGGGGGGGGGGGGGAGACCGUCGAUGGUUUGCUUGAAUUUUCAGAAUGUUUGUUCUCGGUAUUUAUCCAUCGAAUAAACCGUCAACGGUUUGACUGAACAUGUAGAGACAGUUUGCUCUCGGUAUCUCAAUUGUCAAUGGUUUGAUGAAAUCAUUAACAGUUUCGUUCUGGGAACCAGCGCAAAUUUCAAAUUUUGAAUAAGUGAACGUUAAUAUGGUUGGGGUUUGGAGGGAAAAUCUCUGGGAAUUCUAUUUAUAUGUCUUAUUGGAUAUAUUUGUAGAGAGAUGGUUGUAAGAGUUGAAAAGAUUGUAUUGUUCUU